GAGACUCAGAGGGGAGAAGGCGGUGUGAUGGAGAGGCUCGGUCCCUCGGAGGGAAGAGCCGGGCGGGUCGGGGCGAACAAAGAGCGAGCGCGCGGCGAGCGAGGCGCGGCGGCGCCGGGAGGGAGAGGGGCCGAGGCCGGCCGGCCGCCCGGGCUGUCUGAUUUUCUGUCAGCCGCCGCUGAUUAACGGGCCGCCUUCCAGCUCUGAGCGCGCCGCGCCGCGUUCCUGGCAACUGGGCCGCGCAGCUUCCUGGCGGAGGCGGGGCCUGCUGAAAGAUGAGGAGACUGAGGGUCAGAGAGCUUAAGCCUGCUUGUCAUACUUAGUCAUGGAUGAAGCUGGAACCCCAAACCAGCCUUGCCAGAUACCAAGGUCUGAACUCUUAAUUAGGUGAUGUGAGCCACCUCCACGGAGGACCCAAGAAACCUUUGGCAUAACCCGGUGUGUUGAGAGCAGAACAUCAGUAGAAGCCUAGUGAAUAUUAGGUGAAUGGAAUCGAAUCGCCCCAUUUCCACCUGCUUGGCGAUUUUAUACAGGCCCCAGCUAGCCUCCACAUCAGGGUUCCUCCUGCAUCCUGCUGUUUGGAGCAAGAGUCUCAGAGAACAGAGGACCUUGUCUGUCCCCUCUGGAACCUGGCAUUCCAGACUCUUCCUGGGCUGGAUUCAACCUACCUUGGGUACCAGUUUCAUGGGCAGCCGGUGCCGGGCAUCCUGCUCUCCGGCCACACGCUUGAUCACAUACACCAUCACACCUCUCUUUGCACUUGGUGUUCCACUGCUUGGCACGCCCUCACCCAGGCUGAAUGUGUGCCCAAGCGCUUUGCACAGACCUCUCCGGCAGCACCUGAGAAGCUUCCCUGUGGCUGUUGGCGGCUGCGCGCCUCUCCACUGAACAUGCACUCCCCGGGGGCAACGCUGAGUUGCUUUUCUCCCUGUAUCGCCAACCAACUUACGAUAACAAGCGUGAACAUCCUAGAUGCUCCAUAACUGUGGGUCUAAUGUGUACAUGAGCAAGCUGACAUUCCCAAAGAACUAGCUGUAAGCACCUAUUUUGUUUGGACUUUACAAAAUUAAAGCAGCUGUCACAGCCCCGUUACUAAACCCGGCCUUACUUUCUCUCCCAAGUGCAGACACCAGACACUGGCCUUAUAGAAGCAGAACCAUCCCCUGACAUUUUCAUAGGGAGGUGGCAGGCCAUCUGGGUUAAAAU